GAUGAACGCUAGCGGCAGGCCUAACACAUGCAAGUCGAGGGGUAGAAGGAGCUUGCUCCUUUGAGACCGGCGCACGGGUGCGUAACGCGUAUGCAAUCUACCUUGUACAGGGGAAUAGCCCAGAGAAAUUUGGAUUAAUGCCCCAUAGUAUAUAACCUUCGCAUGUUGGUUAUAUUAAAGUUCCAACGGUACAAGAUGAGCAUGCGUCCCAUUAGUUAGUUGGUAAGGUAACGGCUUACCAAGACGAUGAUGGGUAGGGGUCCUGAGAGGGAGAUCCCCCACACUGGUACUGAGACACGGACCAGAAUCCUACGGGAGGCAGCAGUGAGGAAUAUUGGUCAAUGGUCGCAAGACUGAACCAGCCAUGCCGCGUGCAGGAAGACGGUCCUAUGGAUUGUAAACUGCUUUUAUACAGGAAGAAACCCUCCCACGUGUGGGAGCUUGGCGGUACUGUAGGAAUAAGGAUCGGCUAACUCCGUG
rnacentral:rRNA from 1 species